rnacentral:rRNA from 1 species
AUGGUUCUCAAGACAGAGCUCUGCCGUUUCAGUGGUGCCAAGAUAUACCCAGGGAAGGGGAUCAGAUUCAUCCGCUCAGACUCUCAAGUCUUCCUUUUCUCCAACUCAAAGUGCAAGAGCUACUUCCACAACCGUCUCAAGCCAGCUAAGCUCGCAUGGACGGCCAUGUACAGGAAGCAGCACAAGAAGGAUAUUCAUGCUGAGGCUGCAAAGAAGAGGCGCCGCACCACCAAGAGGCCGUAUUCCAGGUCAAUUGUAGGUGCUUCCCUUGAAGUUAUCCAGAAGAAGAGAGCUGAGAAGCCGGAGGUCCGUGAUGCAGCUAGGGAAGCAGCUCUGCGUGAGAUCAAGGAGCGCAUUAAGAAGACCAAGGAUGAGAAGAAAGCUAAGGUGGAGGUGACGAAAUCCCAGAAGUCCGCCGGCAGAGGCAACGCCCCCAAACCCGGGAAGGCCCCCAAGCUUGGCGGUGGCGGCGGCAAGCGCUAG